GAUAGGAUAGCACACGGUGGAGUUGAGAACAGAGUUGACAAGAUGGUCCUACGUAAGUCAACUAGAGCAAAGGUACCAACAAGAAGAUACGUGGACUAAGGAAGGAGUAUUUCAUUUUGUUAUUUCUUAUUCAAUAAAAGACCUAGUCUUGAGGAGAUAGUUCUCCACUUUGUUGCAUUCCUGUUUUGUAGGAAGUUGAGUACUUCCACUUUCCCUCAUUCACGUAUUGUAAGGAGUCAUGACUCCAUUUGUUUUCUUAUUUAAGCUAAUGAAAAACCCAGAAAAAGGUAGACUUAUCUACCAACAAAUAUCUUGAGUACUU
rnacentral:lncRNA from 1 species